rnacentral:lncRNA from 1 species
CUUUAAGAACCUCCAUCUCCAAGACAGAACACCAUUCCCCAUAAUUUAAGGCUGCGAAAGCUUAAUUGUGACAUUCUGUGUGAUAGCAGAAUUUAAGACUUUUUUUUUUUUUUACUUUUAUUUUAGGUCAGGGGUACGUGUGAAGGUUUGUUACACACGUAAAUUGUGGGUUGCUGGGGUUUGGCGUACAGAUGAUUUCAUCACCCAGCGUCUUCAAUGUAGACAUGAAUAAGGAGCACCGGCCAUCCAUCUGAUUGCAAGUACUUAGGAAACUGCAAUGAUGACGUCUCUCUUGUUAUUUCUUCCUGUUGACUUACCAGCAACUGCAUUGUGUUUAAUCACCAAGAUUUUACAGUGAAGAAUUUGAAACUCGAAGAUGAAAACAA